CAGCGGCGGGAGGAUGGAGACGUUCCUCGCUCUUCCCGCUACAUAGUUCCCCCCCCUCCCCCCUUCUUCUUCUACUACUACUACUCCUCUCUUCACGCCCCUCCGUCCGGAAUAUUGAUCCUGCAGAAGGUAACGACGCCCUCAGCAGGAUAUAUACCAACUGGGGCAGGAACACCACCAUCACUACCACACAUACACACACUACCAGCUGCAUGGACAACAUCUCCACCCACUCUUCCUCCUCCUUAUAAAGAACUUAUUAUCACCCUCCUCCUCCUCCUCUUCCUCCUCCUCCUCCUCCUUCUUCUUCUUCUUCCUUCCUCCUGGUGGUGGUGCCUCCUCGUCGUUCCUGAUACUGUUACUACUAUCUCAACUACUGCCGCUACUACUGCUGCUGCUGCUGCUGCUGUUAGCCGACGAGGCAAGAUGACCGGCAGGGAGGAAGAGGAGGAAGGAGAGGCGGAAGAAGAUGAGGAGGAGGAGGAGGAGGAGGAGGAGGAAAAAGAAGAAUAAAAAGAAGAAUAGGAAGAGGAAAAGAAGGUCACAGAUAGGAACAAGAAUAGGUGACCUGAACUCUCCUCACCUGGCCAUAGAUUAUGAAGAUGUCCGGGCAGGUGUUUUGUGAAGACGUGUGAUACCUACUGAAGGAGUGGCUGUUGUCUUACCCGCAGAAGGAAGGUGUAACCUAACCUAACUUCACCCCUGAGGAAAGUCACUUUUUGCUAAAUAAUUAAAAUAAAUUAGAUAUUAUAAGUUAUUUAAACGUAAAAUUGCAAAUGAAGGUAAAU